GUUUAUGAAUUGUGACGCGUGAAGGCUCGCGCAAAUUUGCCGUGGCAGUGAUGGGCGGUUGUCUUGGACGGGGAGAGCGAAGUGGCAGUUCUCGGCCUUCAAAUGGGGAAUAAUUUGUUUCAGCGAGUACCUUCUAAGGAGAUAACAAAAUGAACUCAAGGCCAAGAGGACAUUGAUCAUACAUGCACGUUGGACGAAAUCACAAGGGCUUUACGGAUGUUGAGAUUGAAGUCAUUAUUCGGAAGAUCUAAUGGCUUGCGGAGAGCUCAAAAGGCUUUUGAGCAGAAUUUAGAGAUUUGGAGAGGGCGCAUGUCCCCAAUCGCCGAAAGAAACACAUUGACUCACACUAAUAAAUCCGCCGUCAGUGAAGGUACAAGGCAUUACACAUUUCGAGUGACAGGACUGGGGAUCUUGCCAAAGAAUGCUUACGCAUUAAAAGCUUAAAAAAUAAUAAACGUUCACCCAGAGGACGUGACACACAUGCGCUGCUAUGCUGCGACUGAGGUGCAAUAACGUUAGGGCGCAGUUGAGAGCAUAGCUUGAUCCAAUGCCACGACGAAAUGCUCGCUUUUUGUAAGACGACAUGUGCGUCAUACAGACGAAACGAACGCGCCAGCAAAGUGGCAACAGAUAAACAUUUGAAGAAAAAAAAAAAACUAAGAAACAGAGAUGACAAAACACCAGGAACGUAUUGUGAAAAACUGACUUUGUCUCAGAAAACCUUAAAUAAAACUGCGCAUGAAACGUA